rnacentral:rRNA from 1 species
GACGAACGCUGGCGGCGUGCUUAACACAUGCAAGUCACGGGGGCUCGCAAGAGCAACCGGCGAACGGGUGCGUAACACGUGAACAACCUGCCCUCGUGUGGGGGAUAGCCAUGCUAACGCGUGGGUAAUACCGCAUACGUUCCUCUGGGGGAGUCCCUGGGGGAGGAAAGCUCCGGCGCGACGGGGGAGGGGUUCGCGGCCUAUCAGCUAGUUGGUGCGGUAACGGCGCACCAAGGCGACGACGGGAGCUGGUCUGAGAGGAUGGCCAGCCACA